rnacentral:rRNA from 1 species
UAGUGGCGGACGGGUGAGUAACGCGUGAGAAUCUACCUUCAGGUUGGGGAUAACAGACGGAAACGACUGCUAAUACCCAAUAUACCGAGAGGAGAAAGGCUAGCUGCCUGAAGAUGAGCUCGCGUCCGAUUAGCUAGUUGGUGAGGUAAGGGCUUACCAAGGCGAUGAUCGGUAGCUGGUCUGAGAGGAUGAUCAGCCACACUGGGACUGAGACACGGCCCAGACUCCUACGGGAGGCAG